ACCUUAACCCUCCAGAACACCCCCUCCCUCCUCUGGUCCUCCCCCUCCCGCCGCCGCCGCCGCCGCCGCCAGAGCCGAGCAUGCCGGGCGCCUUCCACUCGCUCCUCCUGCCCCUCCAGUGGAAGCGCAAACCCAAGCGCCGCCGCAGCCGCAGCCACUCAAAGGAGGGCAACAACCGCAACAAACCAAAGAGCCACCUCGCCGGCGCCGGCGCCGCCGGGGACCCCUCCUUCAACCUGAAGGCCUCGGCGUCCUCCUUCCCCCGGGACAUCGGCUGCCUCGUCCAGCCGCUCGGCAACCUCCUCCUCUCGGCCUCCCCGGGCGCCAACCUCCGGGACGCGGGGCUCGGCGCGCUCCGCCCGCUCCCGGACGACCUGCUCCUCGACGUCCUGGGCCUCCUCCCGGCGCGCGCCCUCGCCGCGCUCUCGGCCGCGUCCAAGGCGCUCUACGUCGUCGCCGCGCACGACCCGCUCUGGCGCGCCCUCGUCCUCGGCGAGCUCGGCGGCGCGUUCGACUUCGCCGGGUCCUGGCGCGCCACCUACGUCGCCGCAGCCUCCGGCGGCCGGCCCCACCUCAUCCCCCCGCGCGCGCUCAGGAUCAGGGGCUUCUACUCCGACUACCUCUUCCAGAGCUGGCUCUGCGCCAACAUGGAGAUGCGGCACGAGUGGCUCGCCCGGGACAACAUCGAGCGCCGCCGCGGCGUGUCCGUCGAGCAGUUCAUCGCCGAGGUCGAGGAGCCCAACAGGCCGGUGCUGCUGGAGGGGUGCCUGGACAGCUGGCCGGCGUUGCAGAAAUGGAGCAGGGAGUACCUGCUGGAGAUCUCGGCGGGUAAGGAGUUUGCGGUUGGGCCGGUGAGCAUGACACUGGAUAGGUACUUCAGGUAUGCAGACAAUGUGCAGGAGGAGAGGCCAUUGUACCUCUUUGAUGCCAAGUUUGCUGAGAAGGUGCCGGAGAUGGGGAGGGACUAUGAGGUGCCGGUGUACUUCAGGGAGGACCUGUUUAGUGUUCUUGGGGAGGAGAGGCCGGAUUACAGAUGGGUUAUCAUUGGACCAGCAGGGUCAGGUUCAUCGUUCCAUGUGGAUCCUAACUCAACAUCGGCAUGGAAUGCUAUCAUAAAGGGAGCCAAGAAGUGGGUGAUGUUCCCACCUGAGGUGGUGCCGCCAGGUGUCCACCCGAGUGCAGAUGGAGCAGAGGUCACCAGCCCUGUAUCAAUCAUGGAGUGGUUCAUGAACUUCUAUGGGGCUUGUAAGACUUGGGAGAAGAGGCCCAUCGAGUGCAUAUGCCGAGCUGGGGAGGUUGUUUUUGUGCCAAAUGGAUGGUGGCAUUUGGUGAUCAAUCUUGAGGAGUCCAUUGCCAUUACCCAGAAUUAUGUGAGCAGGAGGAAUUUGUUAAACGUUCUUGAUUUUCUCAAGAGGCCAAAUGCAAGCGAACUUGUCUCGGGGACCAAGGACAGAGUGAACCUGCAUGACAAGUUCCGUGGUGCCAUCGACGCUGCUCACCCUGGCAUGAUCAAUCAGCUUCAGUUUGAGGCACAGCAGAAGGCUGCUGCUCGAAAGAAGAAAGCAUCAUUCUGGGACACUGCUGUCGAUGCCAAGAGCGGAGGAUUCAAGUUUUCUUUCUGAGAAAAGCAAAUGGAAAUGCAGCAUUUUCCUUCUAUAUGCCCAGAAGUCCACGGUACCAUGUCAACAAUAAGCAGUGGUAGAUGAUGUACCUAUUGACAACGAGGCGCUGAUGGUGAUCUUCUCAAUCUUGAGGAUUUGCCGGCUCAAUCUCUCGAAUAUGCUCAUAGGGGUAGGAUUGGGUGUGUGUAUUCAUAGAGGUGAGUGUGCAUAUGUGUAUGCGAGUGUAUGUGUAUGUACUGUGUUUCCAUAAAAAAAUAUCCAUAAGUUGCUAUAGCUAAAUAUUAAUAGUAUUA